rnacentral:rRNA from 1 species
AGUGAACGCUGGCGAUAGGCCUAACACAUGCAAGUCGAACGGCAGCACAGUAAGAGCUUGCUCUUACGGGUGGCGAGUAGCGGACGGGUGAGGAAUACAUCGGAAUCUACUUUUUCGUGGGGGAUAACGUAGGGAAACUUACGCUAAUACCGCAUACGACCUACGGGUGAAAGCAGGGGAUCUUCGGACCUUGCGCGAUUGAAUGAGCCGAUGUCGGAUUAGCUAGUUGGCGGGGUAAAGGCCCACCAAGGCGACGAUCCGUAGCUGGUCUGAGAGGAUGAUCAGCCACACUGGAACUGAGACACGGUCCAGACUCCUGCGGGAGGCAGCAGUGGGGAAUAUUGGACAAUGGGCGCAAGCCUGAUCCAGCCAUACCGCGUGGGUGAAGAAGGCCUUCGGGUUGUAAAGCCCUUUUGUUGGGAAAGAAAAGCAGCAGGUUAAUACCCCGCUGUUCUGACGGUACCCAAAGAAUAAGCACCGGCUAACUUCGUG